CUAGAUCGUAUACUUUACAUGGAUAACUGUGGUAAUUCUAGAGCUAAUACAUGCAACCAGCUCGGCUGCCUUGUGCAGCGAGCGCAGUUAUUAGAACAAAACCAAUCCGGCUUCUGUCGGUUGACUGGUGACUCUGAAUAACCGAAGCGGAGCGCAAAGGUCUCGUACCGGCGCCAGAUCUUUCAAGUGUCUGACUUAUCAGCUUGUUGCGAGGUUAUGUUCCUCGCAUGGCGAUUACGGGUGACGGGGAAUUAGGGUCCGAUUCCGGAGAGGGAGCCUGAGAAACGGCUACCACAUCCAAGGAAGGCAGCAGGCGCGCAAAUUACCCACUCCCGGCACGGGGAGGUAGUGACGAAAAAUAACGAUGCGAGGGCUUCUAGCCUUUCGUAAUCGGAAUGGGUACACUUUAAAUCCUUUAACGAGGAUCUAUUGGAGGGCAAGUCUGGUGCCAGCAGCCGCGGUAAUUCCAGCUCCAAUAGCGUAUAUUAAAGUUGCUGCGGUUAAAAAGCUCGUAGUUGGAUCCGGGCAGUCGACGCGCGGUGCGCUCUAGAGCGUUACUGCGUGCUCGUCGCCACUAUCCGGCUCUGUCUUGCAUGCUCUUUAUUGAGCGUGCUUGGCUACCGGGACGUUUACUUUGAAAAAAUUAGAGUGCUUAAAGCAGGCAUUUGGCCUUGCAUAAUGGUGCAUGGAAUAAUGGAAUAGGACCUCGGUUCUAUUUUGUUGGUUUUCGGAACUCGAGGUAAUGAUUAAGAGGAACAGACGGGGACAUUCGUAUUGCGGCGUUAGAGGUGAAAUUCUUGGAUCGUCGCAAGACGAACUACUGCGAAAGCAUUUGUCAAGAAUGUUUUCAUUAAUCAAGAACGAAAGUUAGAGGUUCGAAGGCGAUCAGAUACCGCCCUAGUUCUAACCAUAAACGAUGCCAACCAGCGAUCCGUCGGUGUUCAGUUAAUGACUCGACGGGCAGCUUCCGGGAAACCAAAGUGCUUAGGUUCCGGGGGAAGUAUGGUUGCAAAGCUGAAACUUAAAGGAA
rnacentral:rRNA from 1 species